rnacentral:rRNA from 1 species
ACGCUCGACACCUACGGGAGGAGCAGUGAGGAAUAUUGGUCAAUGGGCGCUAGCCUGAACCAGCCAAGUAGCGUGAAGGAUGAAGGCUCUAUGGGUCGUAAACUUCUUUUAUAUAAGAAUAAAGUGCAGUAUGUAUACUGUUUUGUAUGUAUUAUAUGAAUAAGGAUCGGCUAACUCCGUGCCAGCAGCCGCGGUAAUCUGAGGCGGGCUGGCAAGGC